UACGAAGGGGGCUAGCGUUGUUCGGAAUUACUGGGCGUAAAGGGCGCGUAGGCGGUGUGUCAAGUCAGGCGUGAAAGCCCCGGGCUCAACCUGGGAACAGCGCUUGAGACUGGCACGCUCGAGUUCGGGAGAGGAUGGUGGAAUUCCCAGUGUAGAGGUGAAAUUCGUAGAUAUUGGGAAGAACACCGGUGGCGAAGGCGGCUCACUGGCUCGUUUCUGACGCUCAGGCGCGAUAGCGUGGGGAUCAAACAGG
rnacentral:rRNA from 1 species